ACGCAUUAAGUUGACCGCCUGGGGAGUACGGCCGCAAGGUUAAAACUCAAAUGAAUUGACGGGGGCCCGCACAAGCGGUGGAGCAUGUGGUUUAAUUCGAAGCAACGCGAAGAACCUUACCAGGCCUUGACAUCCAAUGAACUUUCUAGAGAUAGAUUGGUGCCUUCGGGAACAUUGAGACAGGUGCUGCAUGGCUGUCGCCGUACGUGUCGUGAGAUGUUGGGUUAAGUCCCGUAACGAGCGCAACCCUUGUCCUUAGUUACCAGCACGUAAUGGUGGGCACUCUAAGGAGACUGCCGGUGACAAACCGGAGGAAGGUGGGGAUGACGUCCAAGAUAUCAUGGCCCUUAUGGGCUACACACGUGAAUGGUCGGUACAAAGGGUUGCCAAGCCGCGAGGUGGAGCUAAUCC
rnacentral:rRNA from 1 species